rnacentral:tRNA from 1 species
GCCGAAGUGGUGGAAUUGGUAGACACGCCAUCUUGAGGGGGUGGUGGGCCAACCCCGUGGGGGUUCAAAUCCCCCCUUCGGCACCA